rnacentral:rRNA from 1 species
UACGUAGGGGGCUAGCGUUGUCCGGAAUCAUUGGGCGUAAAGCGCGCGUAGGCGGCCCGGUAAGUCCGCUGUGAAAGUCAAAGGCUCAACCUUUGAAUGUCAGCGGAUACUGCCGGGCUAGAGUCCGGAAGAGGCGAGUGGAAUUCCUAGUGUAGAGGUGAAAUUCGUAGAUAUUAGGAAGAGCACCAGUGGCGAAGGCGGCUCACUGGUCCGGUACUGACGCUGAGGUGCGAAAGCGUGGGGAGCAAACAGG